GGGGCUGAAAAAGCUUAGACGGGAUAUUAACAGUUACAAGGCGUACCGAUUGAAUACCGUAAGUAUUAAUAAGUGCUAAAAACACGAAAACUGCGCAUGUUGCUUACAUGCCAGCUUAUGCCUAAUUAUUUAUAGGCUGGUUUCGAUCUAAGAUUCCGUAGGAUCGGAAUUAUCAUACAACGGGAAUAUGAUCGUUUGAGUGGCGAAAAAUGAUAUGAAAAUUAGCCAUGGCGUUUAUUAGUUUCGUUUUCUGCAGCUAGUAUUUUAAGCCAAGAUAAAACAGAAAACUAUGUACGUAGAAUUGUGACUAUGUGGUAUUUCGGACCCGGAGGCAGUAUCCGGCAGCUCCACCA
rnacentral:tmRNA from 1 species